GUGGCCUCAGCAGUGCCGAAGAGAGGAGAGGCAUCACCUCCCUCAGGUGCUGGCAGCCUUUGGCCUGAGGCAGGCGCGGACGGCAGUGACCUUCUGUGCUCCGAGGGCCAAUUUCUGGGCGCGCUGGCCACGAAGCGCUCGGGCCCGUGUGGCAGAAGGCGCUCCCGAAGCGCCAUCAGAGCAGCGCCGCUCUGUGCGCGGGCCCGGCCGCGGCCGGCGCUGCCCGUGCCCGGCGGGGCCGCGGGCCCGGGCCCGGGGCGGGAGUGUCGGGGCGGGCAGAGGCGGCGGCGCUGCCCCGGCGAGGCGGGGCCGGGCGGGAGCGGCCCGAGCGCGGCCCCGCUCGGCUCCUGUGCGGCUGCCGCGGAGCCGGGGCCGGGCACGAUGGCGGCAGGGCCGGGGCCGUGGCUGCUGGCCUUGGCCUUGGCCGUGUGGCCCGCAGGGCUCCGGGCACAGCUGAGGCUGCAGGAGGCCGGCGGAGGGCUGCGAGCGGCCGGGGACUCCGUCACCCUGUCCUGCCACGGGUCCGUAUUCCCCUUUGAUAGAUAUGAUAUUUGGUGGUACCGUCAGGCUCCCGGAGGCAGCCUGGAGUGGGUGUCCUUUAUCAGCACUUCUUCCUCUGUCAAGCAAAGUGCACGAGCGAUGGAGGGUCGAGCCUUGGUGUCCAGAGACAAUUCCCGGUCCAAGUCAUGGUUGGCCCUGCGGGCCCUGGGCCCCCAGGACUCUGCCCGGUACUUCUGUGGCGCUCCACACGGAGACAGGAAAUCCAGCUGUGCUUUAACACAAACCUGCUGGGGCCUGGAGCAGGGUCUGUGAGAUUUGGAGAUGGACAGUUCUGGGGUAGCUCAGGGCUGUUCCCAAGGAAUCCAGGCCAUCACUGUGCACUGCGGCUGGUUCUGGCCAUCUUUCAGAGCUCCUUUCACCACAACGGCAUAUGGCCUCUCCGAAAUCCCAAGCACAGUGGUUUAUUCUGUCGAGGUGGUUCCAAGGGCUUCUCUCAUUCUCCACCCUGGUCAUUCUUCCUGGCUCCGGCUGCUCUCUGCCUUCUCUUGAUUUCCUUCUAAUUGGGGCACUUGAAGUUCCUCAGCAUUCAGAACCCCUUUGCCAGCUUCAUUAACCCUUGUGGGAGCCAUCUCCUUGCACCACUGAGAGCAAAGCAGUGAUGCAGUGGGCCUGAUUUUCAUUCAGGUGCAUGUCAAGGUGUUGAGAUCCAAGCAAGAAGCUCUGCAGUGUGGUGGCCAGCAGGGAACACUGGGACCCUCCAUUGCACUUACAGCCUCCUGUAUUUACGUGGCCUGGCAUCUGCAGCAUCCUGGUGAGCCCCUGCAGUAGCUGCUGCAGUGCCAGGGCCAUGGAGGCUCCUACAGCCACACAGCCCCUUCUGCCCAUAGGAGCUUUUCCUGCCAGGCUGACCACAGCUCUGGGACUCUGACCCUCUGCAGGCUGGAGCUGGGGGACAGUGCACUCAAUUACUGCACCCUGGAGGGACCACAGCGAGAGACACUUGGGGUG